CUAUUUAUUUAGAUCUAAAUAUACUUAAGUAUACAGUGUUAGUUGUUAUCAAAUAUUACAAAUAAAGUAAUAGAAAUGUACAACUUCUAUUAUAUUAUAUCAUUUUAUAGUUUCCUUAAAUAAUAUACAACAUAACAUAAUAAUAUAAUGGACAACCAAAUGACUACAAGAAGACUCAGAAGAAUAGUGCAUAUAAUUUAUUUUUUUCUCAAAAUUAUGGUUGAAUGUCUAACUUUAAAAAAAAGUCACUUAAGCUAAUAAAUAAAAAGCCCUUGCUAAAGUAAGUACCUAAGUAAAAUUAGUACGAAAACUUACGUCUAUUAACAUUGUCAUCGUUUUCAGCAUGGUAAGAUGGUGGUGGCCAGAAUCGUGACAUACACAACUCCUGAAGCCAUCCAACAGGAUUACCCAUUAGUUUAUCUUCAAAUGAACAUUGCCAUUGGUAGUCUGAUCAGCUGGUGUAGCACCAGUUAACUUGUCCAGUAAAGCCUUGGCUGCAGAGUGCUUUGCCUCUUUUUUUGAGCGACCAGUGCCCAUUGCUGUAAAUAUAUAUUAUGUUUUUUAAA